AUACCAACUGCACAACAGAAGCAGACAUCAUACAAUGUUAAACUGCAAACAACUAAAAAACUUGAUGUAUAUCACUAAAAAGCACCUGAAGAUGAGCCUCCAGGACUCGAAAUGUAUAGUGCAGUAAAUAUACGCAACUUGCGACUGAAGGCGGUUUGUUCUUCAUUAUUCUACUUAUAAAUACAUCACAAAGCCAGUACCACACCAGAACUACAGGACUGUACAACCAAAAGUUCUCUGCUACCACCCUACAUUUUCUGGGAUGGUUACUAAGGAUAGGCCAUGGCGAAUACCCAAGAUCAUUAUUUUAUAUUUUACCAUCUGUGCCAAAUUAAUGUGUCUGGUAGUAUAUCAA